rnacentral:rRNA from 1 species
GACGAACGCUGGCGGCGUGCCUAAUACAUGCAAGUUGAGCGCUGAAGGUUGGUACUUGUACCGACUGGAUGAGCAGCGAACGGGUGAGUAACGCGUGGGGAAUCUGCCUUUGAGCGGGGGACAACAUUUGGAAACGAAUGCUAAUACCGCAUAAAAACUUUAAACACAAGUUUUAAGUUUGAAAGAUGCAAUUGCAUCACUCAAAGAUGAUCCCGCGUUGUAUUAGCUAGUUGGUGAGGUAAAGGCUCACCAAGGCGAUGAUACAUAGCCGACCUGAGAGGGUGAUCGGCCACAAUGGGACUGAGACACGGCCCAAACUCCUACGGGAGGCAGCAGUAGGGAAUCUUCGGCAAUGGACGAAAGUCUGACCGAGCAACGCCGCGUGAGUGAAGAAGGUUUUCGGAUCGUAAAACUCUGUUGGUAGAGAAGAAAGUUGGUGAGAGUGGAAAGCUCAUCAAGUGACGGUAACUACCCAGAAAGGGACGGCUAACUACGUG